AGCGCAGGCGGUUUUGUAAGACAGUGGUGAAAUCCCCGGGCUCAACCUGGGAACUGCCAUUGUGACUGCAAAGCUAGAGUGCGGCAGAGGGGGAGUGGAAUUCCGCGUGUAGCAGUGAAAUGCGUAGAUAUGCGGAGGAACACCGAUGGCGAAGGCAAUCCCCUGGGCCUGCACUGACGCUCAUGCACGAAAGCGUGGGGAGCAAACA
rnacentral:rRNA from 1 species